UUCCGUAGGUGAACCUGCGGAAGGAUCAUUACCGAGUUGAUUCGAGCUCCGGCUCGACUCUCCCACCCAAUGUGUACCUACCUCUGUUGCUUUGGCGGGCCGCGGUCCUCCGCACCGGCGCCCUUCGGGGGGCUGGCCAGCGCCCGCCAGAGGACCAUAAAACUCCAGUCAGUGAACUUCGCAGUCUGAAAAACAAGUUAAUAAACUAAAACUUUCAACAACGGAUCUCUUGGUUCUGGCAUCGAUGAAGAACGCAGCGAAAUGCGAUAAGUAAUGUGAAUUGCAGAAUUCAGUGAAUCAUCGAAUCUUUGAACGCACAUUGCGCCCCUUGGUAUUCCGAGGGGCAUGCCUGUUCGAGCGUCAUUUCAACCCUCAAGCUCUGCUUGGUAUUGGGCUCCGUCCUCCACGGACGCGCCUUAAAGACCUCGGCGGUGGCGUCUUGCCUCAAGCGUAGUAGAAAACACCUCGCUUUGGAGCGCACGGCGUCGCCCGCCGGACGAACCUUUGAAUUAUUUCUCAAGGUUGACCUCGGAUCAGGUAGGGAUACCCGCUGAACUUAAGCAUAUCAAUAAGCGGAGGAA
rnacentral:rRNA from 1 species